GAUUAAAGCAAGCAUAACAGCCACAGUGUUCCAGGAAGAAUCAGAAGAGGAAAUCAGGAAGGAAAGAGACUUUGUCAUUCCCAGUCAAAAUACAGAUGAAGACUGAGGAGAGACAUUGGCCCUUGCAGUUCUUCAUGCCUAGACGAAAGAGGGGAUAUAUUUUAGGAUUCAAGGGAGGUGGAGAAUUCUAGGGAAGAAGAAACUAGAGAGCCGAUGUGAAGGAAAUCUGAUGGAACCCUGCCCUGACUACAGGCCAACCUAUCCUUCACCUGUGACAAUACUACACCUCAUAUGGUUUGUGAUGUCACCUGUGCCCUUC